GAUGAUGAUGAUGAGGAUGAUGACGAGGACGAUGAGGAUGAUGAGUGAGUCUUGUUUCACACAACAUUGUAACCUUUUUUGACGUGCAAAUACAUAGAUCAAUGCUAAUUUUCAAAGAUCUUGAUGAGGAUGGUUAUGGCAGGCAUCAUUGCUAUCAUUAGUGGAAGGACGAGUUUGCAAUUAUUUUCAGUUUUACAUUAAAUUUUAGAUGCAAAUGAAACACCGAAACAUCUUUUGCUUACUGAUUCCUUCUCUUCACAAUGGUCAAAGUCCACAGUUCUCACCACUAUGCUGUGUCCUAGAAUUUUAAGGUCGACUUAACUGUCUGCCCUCAGAAAUCAAAGUAAUAUUUUUGGCUGAACAGGCGCAGUGCUCUGUUACAGCCCAAACUGAAAAGGCCGCUGAAGCCUGACCUUAGCUUCACAUAAAAUUGAUAUAAUAUAUUCCAAACAUUCUAUAUGUCAGAUCUGUUUGUGCUAGUUAAAUGCAUUUUUGGAAGAGUCAACAUGUGUGAACAGAAUAUUUCAAACUCUAAAAGUAGUCCAUCUGUUUAAUUAUUAACAUUAAUUACCAAAUUAAUGUGUUAAAUUUUCAUGAAUGGUGCAAUAGAUCAGAUAUUUCAGUGCAGCUUUAAAUUUUUUAUUUUGCCCCAGGGAUGAUGAAGAGGAUGAGGAUGACGAGGAGAGUGAGGAGGAAGAGUCGCCAGUUAAGGCCAAGCCAACACCAUCCAAACCACAAGCCCAGCAAACACCAUCCAAACAGAACUCUGCACAGAAUGGCAAGAGUUCGAAACCCAGUACUCCAGCCCCAAAACAGGAUAAGACCCCUAAAGGUAAGGGUGACAAGUCACCUAAAACCCCACCCACUCCCAAGGGGAAUUUAA
rnacentral:lncRNA from 1 species